GAUUCUUUCUACCGCAGGAAAGCGGGAAAGGUCGGCCCCUAGUGCAAGAGUGUUGGAGCUCUUUGGCGUGGUCAGAGCGCGUGCUGGCUUGGCUCACCUUACUAUGAGUACUAUAAUUACUAUGUGUCUGACUUAGUUUCGUGAAGAUUAUUUCACGUCUCUAAAACUAUGCUAUGCAUCACAUAAAACGGCACGAUAGUAUUUGUUAGGCCCUUUCCUGCGGUAUUACUGUGUACACAACAUCGAUUAGGGCACAGGAACAUUGUCAAGAGAGAUGGACUGAGUGUCCCACAGUUCUGUCAGACUUGAUGUACACAGAGCAAUCAGAGAAGACCAGCUAAUGGUAAAUAAUGGGCGUGGGGUGGGAAGUGUUUAUCCAAUGUGGUGGGCAAGUCACCCCUGUGUAGCUAUAAUGACAGUAAUCUAGAGGUCCUCCUAACUGACUUCACCGUUAUGGGUAUUUAACCCUUUCCUUGUGCGUAAAAUGACAGUGAUAAUAAUACUACUUAGAGAAUUACGAGGAUUAAAUGAGUUAAGCAUAUAAAGUGCAUAAAAAAAUCAGGUGACAGCAAGUAUAAGCCAUUAUUUACCAGUUACUAUCUCCUAAAUAUGUCUUUCAUGUAGCCAUUUAACCCAAAAACAGUAAUUGAGGCUCAGAGAUAUUGGACAAUUUUCACUCCCUUUCGUGUCCAAUAUUUCCGAAAUGCUAUCCAAAUACUAUAGAACCAGAAAUAAUUUGUAGAAAUAUUUCUGCACUUCUCACAGUGAUUUAUUAUCAGGUCUCUUUGGCUGUACCCACUGGCUUAGUGAAACAGAAAAAAAAAUACAUUGUUUCACUUAUGAAGUAAUAAUGAUGAACUUUUCACGUGUAUAUGGGUUUAUUUUCUGUAGGCAGACUGUUGGUGUCCCUGGCCAUGUUUUUUUCUAAUGGAACAUGCAUUUUGUAAAAUUUUCAAGGAAGGAAUAAUAUGAUCAAGUUAAUGUUUAAAAAAUAAAAAUUCCUACC
ensembl:processed_transcript 6030442K20Rik RIKEN cDNA 6030442K20 gene